AAAGAGGAUUUUUUAAAAUCCAUUUUUCAAGAUAAUAAACUAAUUC
rfam:Haliaeetus albicilla contig49835, whole genome shotgun sequence.